AUCAGGUUAACAUAAUUUCUAAUGUGAUUGAUUUAGGUUCAAUAAAGUAUAGGUGAAAGUCCUUUAUCUGAUA
rnacentral:tRNA from 1 species